GGAUCGAACCCAGGACCUUGCGCUUUCGAGGCAGGCAUGGCUAAAUCCCCAGCCCUCAUCUCAUUUAAUUUCACAAGAACACAGUGAACAAAGUAGGAGCUGUCAUUGCUUCCAUUCUCCUGAUGAAGAAGCUGAGGUUUAGAAAAGAGGAAACUGCCCACAGCCAUGUGGCUGGCAUGUCAGUGCUGAAUGUUCUCUGAGGCUUCACUUCAGAACCAAGCAGGUGGAGCGAAGGGUGUUCGUGUGGUGAGCGCAGUUCCUCUCUGGUUUCCUGUUGGCCCUGCGGGGUGAGACUGCUGUCACCUCUGCUCCCGCCCUCCGCCCUCUGCCUCCACAGUCAUCUCUGCCUCUGUCUCUAGUCCGGGGUAACUGGGUCUCCUUCCUGCCUUCCCUGCCCAUCUCUUUGUGUGCCCAAGCUGUCAUCCUUGCAAGCAGCAGAUGGCCAGGCCAGAACAAGUGUCCCGCAGCAGACAGAGCCGGGACAGGGUCAUGCAUGCUGCCCCCCGGGGAGGGGAACCACACAAGACCCAGGUGGGAUGCCUCUUCAUUCGGGUUCAUUGAGGAAUGCCUGUGUCCUGACUGGAGGUGGCUUCCGGCCUUCCUCUCUGUGCCCGGACCUGACUGGGACUUGGGUCUUCUCCAUGCUACCUCCUGUUUCAUCGUCUUUGCUUUGCCCAUAGGAAUAAAGAAGAAAAGGAGGAAGAUGGCAAAGUAUGGAGCAAUGGUGUCAGUGACAUGAGCUGAGGGACCUCAUGUCCCCCAGAGCCAAUGUCUGCAUUUUUUGAGCCUUGCUUUGGAUAAUGUUUGUGUGUAACUAUCUUUAAUUUUACUUUUUAGAGAUCAUCAAAUGGAAAAGUACGUGAUGUUUAUCUAUCCUGGUGCCCACAAAGGAGUCAAUCAUGGAGACAUAGACAUGGAACUCUAGGGACUGAAUCUGGGAGGGGAUAAAGUGCUCCUGAAGCCGCAGGACCUCAAACCUGUAGGUCAGAAACCAGUGUCACGUGAUUUCUACCCUAACUUUGACCUUAAAUUUAAGCCAGUUCCUUCAGAUCUAGCCUCAAUGUCUGGGCUAGGAGAAGUGAGAAUGACUUUGAAAUGUAACACAGAGGCUUUUUACAGCAAAAGUAAGCAAUGCCGAGUAAAUGAUGUGUCAGUCCUGAGCUGCAGUUGUUCCAUAAAUUUACUUCCAGCCACAGCAGCUGUUGAAGUUGUCCCCAUUUUGCAGAGUUAGAAACUGAGGCCUUAGAGAUGCUUUGUGACUUGGCCAAGGUCAUCUAAUUACCAAUGAGACUCAGUAUUUGAACCUAGCACUCUGAAUCUAAAGCCUGCCUGUCAUCACCAUGACAUCAUUGCUCUUUAUGUGAGAAAGUGAUUAUAUCAAAAUGUAAUUAUCAGGGCCAGGGAUUUAGCUCAGUGGUUUUGCUGCCUGCUGUGCAAGCUCAGGGACCCAAGUUCGAUCCCCGGUACCAAAAAAAAAAAUGUAAUUAUCAUCCAUCGUCGUGUAGCACGUUAUGAUAGCCCACAGAACUGACAGCUUGCUAUGUGUCCGCGAGGCACACCAUGCUGUACAUGCACUGCCUCUUUCAGUCCUAUUAGCACCCAGCAAGCAGGGUGCUACAGCGGUCCUGGUGUUUUGGAGCAGAUCCAGGGCUCAGCAAGUCUGGGUGACUUGCCUGAGGCUAUGGAGAAAGUCAGUGCUGAAAACAGGCACACACCUGGAGCCUUAAGUCCCAAGAACUAAUGAGGAAGCUAAUCUCAUGCUGAUUAAACACAGCCUUCCUUCUCAGCCUGUGUUCGAACAUGUCUCAUGUCUGAGACAGUCAAUUUGCAGUGUAGGCAUUGAGUUUCUUGUCUUGGACCCCAGGAAUCCAAAUGGCCGAUGUAAAGGUCAAACUCAUUUCUUUGUCCCAGGUAGCUCCCUGCGUAACUCAUUACCUAAAGGGGGUCUUAAUGCAUGGAGUUGAGUCAUGAGUCUAUAGAUUGUUCCUGAACUUCCUAGCUGUCCUUCUUUGCUAAGGCAUUAGCUGAAACACCUCUGCCUCUAUUUUACACUGUCCCAACCAACCUGGACUGACUCAGUCUACAUCACAAGGCCAUAAUCUUGUUCCCUUAAGGAAAAGACUCUUUUUAUCAGAGUUACCUUCAGUUGAUGUGGUCUCUGUAAAAUAAGAUUAACUCUAGGCCCCUGUGUCCAGCGUCCUGUGAAUUCACCAUGUAUGUGUGGUGAAUCUGGAAAAAAAAAAAA